rnacentral:rRNA from 1 species
UAGGGAAUUUUCCACAAUGGACGAAAGUCUGAUGGAGCAACGCCGCGUGCAGGAUGAAGGCCUUCGGGUCGUAAACUGCUUUUAUGAGUGAAGAUUAUGACAGUAACUCAAGAAUAAGGGACGGCUAACUACGUGCCAGCAGCCGCGGUCAUACGUAGGUCCCAAGCAUUAUCCGGAAUUACUGGGCGUAAAGAGUUGCGUAGGUGGUCUAUUAAGCAGAACAUGAAAGCGUACGGCUCAACCGUAUACA